CCUACGGGUGGCAGCAGUGGGGAAUAUUGCACAAUGGGGGAAACCCUGAUGCAGCGACGCCGCGUGAGCGAAGAAGUAUUUCGGUAUGUAAAGCUCUAUCAGCAGGGAAGAAAAUGACGGUACCUGAGUAAGAAGCUCCGGCUAAAUACGUGCCAGCAGCCGCGGUAAUACGUAGGGAGCAAGCGUUAUCCGGAUUUACUGGGCGUAAAGGGAGCGUAGGCGGCCGUGCAAGUCUGAUGUGAAAUACGGGGGCUCAACCCCGGGACUGCGUUGGAAACUGGCCGGCUGGAGUGCCGGAGAGGUAGGUGGAAUUCCUAGUGUAGCGGUGAAAUGCGUAGAUAUUAGGAGGAACACCAGUGGCGAAGGCGGCUUACUGGACGGUAACUGACGUUGAGGCUCGAAAGCGUGGGGAGCAAACAGGAUUAGAUACCCCAGUAGUC
rnacentral:rRNA from 1 species